AGCUAUGAUGAUUCAAGAACAAACUGACUUGGUAGUGAUACCUCUGGGUGUCUCUGACUAAGGCAUGAUCAGUUUUAAUCUUCUCGCUGAGCUG